GGUAGCCGUAGGGGACCUGUGGCUGGAUCACCU
rnacentral:rRNA from 1 species